rnacentral:rRNA from 1 species
AAUGGCUCAUUAAAUCAGUUAUCGUUUAUUUGAUAGUACCUUUACCUGGAUAACCGUGGUAAUUCUAGAGCUAAUACAUGCUAAAAAUCCCGACUUCGGAAGGGAUGUAUUUAUUAGAUAAAAAACCAAUGCCCUCCGGGGCUCCUUGGUGAAUCAUAAUAACUUAACGAAUCGCAUGGCCUUGCGCCGGCGAUGGUUCAUUCAAAUUUCUGCCCUAUCAACUUUCGAUGGUAAGGUCUUGGCUUACCAUGGUCUCAACGGGUAACGGGGAAUUAGGGUUCUAUUCCGGAGAGGGAGCCUGAGAAACGGCUACCACAUCCAAGGAAGGCAGCAGGCGCGCAAAUUACCCAAUCCCGACACGGGGAGGUAGUGACAAUAAAUACUGAUACAGGGCUCUUUCGGGUCUUGUAAUUGGAAUGAGUACAAUCUAAAUCCCUUAACG